AGGCUGCAGCCAGGGCAGUGUCCCACACACGAGCUGGUUAGAGGCAUGCACUGGAAUAAUGUCAGUGGCUCCAGUCCUGGAAUAACUUGCUGAGAGGCUGUAACGUGAUCAUGCCUGAUCUCUUCGUGCUCAUGGAGGGACAGAGACUCCAGCAAAAUGGAUGAACCUCGCCGUGGAAACAUACAGGCGUUCCAGAUGCCCUUGAGGUGCCUUGCCUGGCCUUCAGCCACCUCUUCAAAAAGUGCCUGAGCUGUUCAUUACCAUCACACCAAGCAUGACUGUAAAUGACCUUCUGUACCCUUGAUUGUAACUACUGAGUACAGUAAACACCGCCUGGACAUCGCCUCUGCAAAAAUCUCCCCUUUCUUCCCCUGGGGCUCUUGUCAGCUCCAGGAUGACAGGAAGCAUCUGCAUCAGCUCCCAGCAACACUUCAGUGGUGCUUGCAGACAAAUUCCUAUUUCCCAAAGAUGGGAAGAAGAUUCCCAGAAGAAGGAGGUCAACUGCCUCAGACAGAAGGGCCAUGGAAGAGCCCCUUGGACACUCCCCUUGGCGGACAAUAUGCUGAUGCACGUUAGUGACUUGAUAGCGAGCUCUUGCUUUGUGGGGGCUGCUGAAGGAUGUCCUUGGUGCUUCUGUGCAGUUACGGGCUCACUGAGUCUCUCCACCAGCAUGCCACUGUGGGUUUGGCUGCAAGGCUUUCAAAGCCUGAGUGCAGCGAGCAGUGCCCAGGUGGCGUUUCUGAUGGCAUCCAUGAUGUGUCUUCUGGUAGAGGAAUGAAUAGAGCUGCUAACCACUGACCCUUGCAAACCUGCCAGAGGGAAAAAAAACAAUAAAGGAAAGUAGGCAGCAGAGCAGGGCCACACUAUUUCUAGCAACUGAGAGCUCUGAUCAGGAGAUGGACAGGUGAGGAUUUCAUUGCACUGGGGGGCAGGCUGCAGUGUCUUCCAGGCCCGAGCGGUCUGCCUGCUGUGGGGCUGCACGCCAGCAUACCCAAUAGUGUGCUAACUGUUGCUGUUUAAUCUCCAGCAUCUUGUUUGACGCCUCGGUGUAAUAAUGAUGGAAAUAAUAAAUGGCGUGCUACAAAGCCGUGUGCGUGGACUCGCUUUGUGCUGACGGCGGUGCCUUGCUCCCGGCGCGGCUCGGUGCCAGCCUGCUUCCAGCUGAGUCAGUUGGAGCAGGCAAAGGCCCAGCUCAACAGCUGGC
ensembl:lncRNA